CGAGUAGAUGCCAGUUUCACUUAAGCAUAUCAAUAAGCGGAGGAAAAGAAACUAACAAGGAUUCCCCUAGUA
rnacentral:rRNA from 1 species